rnacentral:lncRNA from 1 species
GUCAGCUGCAGAAGCCCACAAACACUGGGCAUGUUACCUAAGCAGAACCCUGCAAAGUUCCAAGCCAGGCUCAUGACUCAGUGGGGGAAGCAGUGUUUCUCCCUGAAUCAGCCCCAGCCAGGCCACAUCUGAGGCUUAGCCCAGCCAAGAGUCCAGCCACUGCCCAGCUGCCUGUGGACACACGGGCCCUGUGCUGUCUCAGCUGAGAGGUCCCCAUCUACUGACUCACUCGCACCUGGGGCUUCUUGGCUGGUCAUCUGGAAAGGUACAAACUGAAGUUUUCUUUAUCCAAGGCAAUCUUUUAGAAGUCACCCUACGUUUCUUCAAAGUGUCUGGACGCAGUGUGGAGCGUGGUUUAUUUCGUCCAUGUUGCGGCAGCCUGUGUUGGAACUCGCUGAGGUUUGAAGCCUGUCAUCAACAUACAGACUGACAUGAACUUUCAAUGGGAGUCACAGAGGGCUGUACGGGCAAACAGGAGAAAUGACAGGGUACCAAAGACCGCCCUGUCAGCUGAAGGGCACCCUGGAUGCCUGUCUCUGAGCCCUCACACUCCUGUAACCUGUGAAGAGUGGGCAAGCAGAACAGGUGAUGGGUCAUGCAUCUUCCUGACACACUGUGAAGCAGGAAGAAACAGGAACAGUAGCUCUGUGUUACACGUGAGGAGCGAGAAGCACCAACAUGGGAUGUGUGCUCUGUUUCGGAUGAUUGACCAGCAAGCCCCAAGGAUCUGCCUGUCUCCACCACCCCUCGACCUCCUAGCAUUGGAACUGCAGACAGGAGCUGACACACCCAGGCUUUCACAUGGAUGCUAAGAAUGAUCUAACUCAGGUCUCAGGCUUCCACUGCAAGUGUUGCACCCACUGAGCCAUCCAUCCCGCCCCCUCUACUCUUCGGAAGUUUCCAACCCUAAUAUGGUUUCCGACAAUUGUGUCCAACAAUAAAUAUGUUUUGCUUUAGGGAGGAAAUUCCUCAUUCUCUUCCUUGAGACUCUCUGUUGAACAAAGACAGAUCUUUUGUUAAAAGUAUAAGUUACCAGCUGCCAUAUUCUUGAUAUCUGCAUUCUUUGCAGGGUCUUCAUUCUGGAUUUCAUCUUCAAUAUGGAUCCACAGGCUUUAAGAACAUAACGCUUUCUAAAGAGCUCCAGCAAUGGAAACAGCUGUCAGCUCUUCCACCAAAGAUGCUCAAACCAUCACGCUGUCACAUUUAAAUAUAAGAAGCCCCCAAUAUGGAAGAAGACAUCGCUUCUGGUUACCGUCUUGUGUGUGCUAGCUCUCUUUCACUAAUGUCCACUUAAAAAAUAUACAUCAUAACUUGAGCACAGCGGCA